UUGUAAUCACAAUGGGCUUAUCCUGACC
rnacentral:piRNA from 1 species